CCCCUCUCAGGGUCACACCUGGAGAGUUCCCAGUACUCUACCAGUCUUGGCUGUGGGAGGGAGAGUAAGCACAGGCACACCCAUUCCAUUCCUAGCUUGGGUAUUGGCUAGCCAGUGGAAGGCAAUCUGCUACAAGU